AAAGAGGGGUGAUGUGGCUGAUUUGGGGGCGAGUCUGCAGCCUGGAGGAAUGGGGGACACAGUGUCUGGCGGUGGGAUCCUAGGGCUGCCCCCCUCUUAGCAAAGCCCAGCUGGAAACUGCAUGGUCCCGGGUGCUGCAAACAGAGCUUCUCCUGCUUCCUUCCUUCUUGUUCAGUCUCUUGCUCUUUUCCCUUCCCUCCUUCCAGCCACCGCGUCUUCCCCCAAGUGCUCGGGGUUUCCUUCUUUCCUGUCUUUCCUUUUGUCUCCCCUCUUCUCCUUUUGGAUUUUUAAAGGUUGCCUGGGAGAGGUAAAGCAGCUGCUGAUUUCAGCUUCCUGGGUUGCUGCCGUUUGCAGGAGAAGCAGCAGCGAGAAGAGGAGGGACUCUCUGGCUACGGCGAUCGUUAUGCUGAUGAGAGUCAGCAGCACGUGGUGUCUCAACCCCGUCCUCAUACUUCUGCAGCCUUCAAAAUAAAUACAACAACGUGCAUCCCCCACAGAAGAAGGAGCUUUGCUUUCAGACGAUCUCCCCCACCCAGGGACAGGACUAGGGGGAAUGACAGGACUGUCUCCGAUCUGUACGUCUCUCCGGGUUUUUCCAUUAACACAUGUUUUGUUUGUUUUGAAAAAAGCCUGGACUAUUUUGUUUGCCAACUAAUAAUACUUAAUAAUUUAGUGCCAAAGGUUUUUGAUGUUUAUUUUUUGCUAAGACCCUGUCAGCCUAAAGCCUAAAACAUUUCCUUGAAUAAAUGAAAGCUAGAAAACCCGCCCUUCAGAUUAUUAAGGUAAAGAGAGUCUGGUUUGUUUUCGCCCUUAAAAAAAAAAGGCAGAUCUUAUUAAAAACAAUUUACAUACCCAAUAGUAAAAAAGUGUCAACGCCUCCCAGAGCAGAUAACAACCUAUCAAAACUCUCCCUCUAACUUACUUCGACGUGCCACUUCCACCUUCUUGUACAAACUGGAGGUUCUGCUGCCGGCUUGUUUUCACAACAGGGUCUGUGGCAACUUUCGAAACCAACCCGCAAUGCUCCACACAGCGCCUAUAUAACAUGAUCCUCUCUGACGAUUAACACAGGAUUAAGUUAUUCCCCACUACAACCACCGUCGCUGUUAUCUGACAAACAUUAAAAAAGAAGGUGAAACUUCCGGGGCUUUGGUCUUUAGUUAUUUGCUUGCUUGCCAUUAAAAUGUUCAAAAGGAUCUUUUUUUCGGUCACAUGGGAGAGCUCUCGCUCUGUAUACCGCUAACUGUGGUUGGCAACUCUGUGCUCUUGUCUGCAAUAGCACUCGUCCUUGAAGGAAAUGCAGCGGAUGACAUGUAUUUGUUUAUUAUUUUCAUUCUACCUCUUUUUUUACAUGGUUAAUAUGUUUGAUAGUAACCCCUGAUCACCUGCCAGCGAUCUAAGGGUUUUUUCUGUGUGUACUUGUCAAAUAGGGGGUAGUGGUGAUGGGGAGUUUACUAUUCCUACCUGGACAUAUAAGUAUGAUGAAUAAGUGCUCCCAUACUUACCAACAAAAUGGGCAAGAUCCUGUCCAAAAGGAGAAGUGUGCACAGUGCCCCGAAAUGGGGAAUUUAACACAAUCUGCAAGGAGCUUAGUAAUUUAAAGGUUUUCAGAGCUCAAAUAGAGUUGCAGUACAGUAAAAUAUUUUUUUAAAAAUUGUUUUUGGUACUAUGUUUAUUAUUGUGCUUUUUAGCACCCUCCCUUUAGAUGGGGGAUAACAUUUUCCGUUAGGUUGAGGGUACAGGUGUUGGGCGGAAAAGAAAAAGUUAACAGGAACCAUAUGUUUCCAAGUACAGAAUUAAUUUGACAGUAGUUAUUUCAGUACUUUUUAAAAAUAAGAAGAUAAUUUCCUCUUUUAAUUAGUCACAUCAGUAUAUUUGCAGUUGCCUCCCUCCAUAUUAAAAUUUAAAAAGUUAAUUAGGAUAAAUCAAAAGAAGUUAUAGGAAGUAACCAGUGUAAGGUCACUUAAAAUAGUCUAUAGUUAUUUAUAAUUUUUCCACUGACCAUCCUAACAAAGUUUCAGGUACCUGGCACAGCUGAUUUUUAGUCUCCUUGCAAAAAUUUCUUUCUGCUUAGCUUUUACAUAUUUAACUGGAACUUGCUAAAGCCUGGAAGAGAUCACAACUCAGAGCACUAGAAUUUUAUUGAAAUUGUUAUGGACACCUUAAUAAAACUACCCAUAAUGUUUAUGGACCAGCAUAAAGGCUGUCUGGGAUUCAUUUUAUAUGUGCUUUAUGCUAUGUUCUGAAUUAUAUGAAACUUUGGCUUGGAUUUGGCUGAAAGACACUUGGGCAGUGGUUCUCAAACUUUUGUAUUGGCGACCCCUUUCACACAGCAAGUCUCUGAGUGUGACCCCCCCCUUAGAAAUUAAAAACACAUUUUAAAAUAUUUAAUGCUAUUAUGAAUGCUGGAGGUGAAACGGGGUUUGCGGGUGGAGGCUGACAGCUUGCAACCCCUCAUGUAAUAACCUCUUGAUCCCCUUGAGGGGUCACAACCCCUAAUUUGAGAACUCCUGCACUUGGGGCAACCCUACCCUCCAGCUUUCUUCUGCUUUCACUUCAGAAGCAUUCAUAAUUUUAGCAUAGGCUGAAAAGUGGAUCACAUUUUAAGAGGUUAGAGAGCCAUAAGAGUUUAGAGAAAAAUUUUUUUUUUAAAGAUUAUGUAUUAAAAAAACCUCCAGACCCAUUUUAUAAAACAAGAUUUUAAUGAGUGCAUCUAUGAUUGCUGCAAAAGCAACUUUGAUGGUCUUUUAGCUUUUUUACCUUUAACUGUGUUACAAAUACAGCUGUACUAUAUGGAAGCAUUUUGCUAGAAAAACAUAUCUUUUAAAUGGCUUAGUAUCUAUUUAAUUUAAAAUUGGUAAAAUUUGGACCCAGUAAUCUCUGGACCUAUCAAUAAUCUCCUGGUCUAAACAUCUGAUCAAGGUAGAAAAUAAUUGAUAAAUGUUGAAUGUUUCUGUACUGAAUGAUGUUUCAUAAAAAUAUUUGUUUUGAUGCUAGUUUGCUUGACUGGAAUGUGCUGUAAUCAUGAUACAUAUUGAACCUCUUAUAACCUUCUCUAUAUGAGUGCAUAGCCUUGAUGGAAAAUAGAAUAAAUUAAUAUGUGUAACAGGUUUAUUAUUGUAUCAGAUAUUUUGGGAGUCAUUAUAGCAAUGUCAGCAAUUACUGCUAUAGUUAAGUACUUGCCAGUAUUUUCUUUCCAAAUUCCACCUUCCAGGAGUUUCUAACUCACUCAUGAAAAUACAAAUCAGGCUGAAAUGUGGUGUGACAUUAGGGUAGUCCUGAUCCCACGGAUGUCCAUGCCCAAACUUCUACAGACUUCAGUGGGAGCACGAUGAGGCCCAAUGUCUCAUGGCAACACUUCGCUUUCAUUUUGGUUACAAAUUGACUACUUGUCCAGCUAUUCUUUGCACUUAAAAGUAUGUCAGGUAGAGUGGCUCAGAAUUUAUAGACUUCUGUUUGAUAGAUUUGGUUGAUUCAUUGUUUACUGUGCUAAGGAGCACAGAUUUCAGAAGUACAAACACAGUAUUACAAGAGUACAUAGACUCCUUCAGUCUCUUUAUUUUAGCUAUCAUGUCUCUGACCCAUUGAUUUAUGACUAAAACACAAGAAAAUUCUAUGCUAUCCUGAAAUGUGCUGUAAGCAUUUUAUAUCUCAGCACCGUACACUGUUUGUAUAGUGUCUACAGUUUCUGGCAGUACCGUAGACAGUCAAGUCUGAAAGACAGACUAGAAAAUGACUACAUAAAACAAUAACUGAUUGACAUCUAUAACAUUAUUGUUUCACACAUUAUUUUCUAUUGGUUAGUUGGGAUUCUUGGGUUCUAUGCAGGGAUUGUCAUUUACUCACUGUGUGACCUUAGUAACUGGCAAGUCACUUAACACCUCUGUGCUUCAGUUUACCUGUGCGUAGAAUGGGGAUAACAAUAGUUACCUCACUUGGGUGUUGUGAGAUUUAAAUAAUUAUGGUCAUUAGUGUCAUGAUUGUCAUAAAGUCAUUUGAAAUCCAAAGAUGAAAGGGGCUAUGUUAGUGCAAAGUAUUAUUAAUAAGUUUUCUUUGUUGAUGAUAAUA